rnacentral:misc_RNA from 1 species
UCCGGUGACGCUUCAACUGAGUGAGUGAUUCUCUUCAUACCGUAUUUUCAUGCACCGAGAGGGCGUCGUCUUAUUGCCCCACCUUCAAGGCCAUUCAUGCAGACAACCUAAUAUGCAGGCAAGAGUGCUUGAAAACAUCCGAAGGCACGGUCUAUGGUACCCUCAACUAUCAUGAGGAUUCCCAAGCGUGUCUGGCGGCUCUUCACGCCUCGGUCAUCAACGAGAGCGGAGGUCACGUCCACGUCCAGAGGUCAAACCAAGUCUUCCAACACUUCUUCGGCGCCAUUAGGAACAGGAUCAAGUCGGAGACAAAGUAAGAGGGAGAAAACCUGUAAAGAUAAGAGAAGAAAGGAGAAAGGAAAAGCCCGUACGAGAUGACACAAACAUAGAAUGGAAAAGAAA